rnacentral:pre_miRNA from 13 species
UGCAUCUUCCGACCGGCGAUCAGUAAGUGCUCCCGAUUGGAAUUGACAUUCAAAGCUACAACCACAAAUAUUCCCAGUAAUGUCCACCUACAAGGAGCCACUGCGUGGGUGGGUGGA